UUCGGGCGAAGAUAAGACGGAUUAGCGGCGGACGGGUGAGUAACACGUGAGUAACCUGCCUUUUACACAGGGAUAGCCUCGGGAAACCGGGAUUAAAACCUGAUGAAACUAUCAAAUCACAUGAUUAAGAAAGUUAAAACUCCGGUGGUAAAAGAUGGACUCGCGUCCCAUUAGCUAGUUGGUGAAGGUAACGGCCCACCAAGGCAACGAUGGGUAGCCGGCCUGAGAGGGUGAACGGCCACAUUGGAACUGAGAAACGGUCCAAACUCCUACGGGGGCAGCAGGU
rnacentral:rRNA from 1 species